rnacentral:rRNA from 1 species
AGAGUUUGAUCAUGGCUCAGGAUGAAUGCUGGCGGCGUGCCUAAUACAUGCAAGUCGAGCGGUAAGGCCCUUCGGGGUACACGAGCGGCGGACGGCUGAGUAACGCGUGGGAACGUGCCCCAAAGUGAGGGAUAACCUCGAGAAAUCGAGGCUAAUACCGCAUAUGGUCUUCGGAUUAAAGGAUUUAUCCGCUUUGGGAGCGGCCCGCGUACGAUUAGUUUGUUGGUGAGGUAAUGGCUCACCAAGACUACGAUCGUUAACUGGUCUGAGAGGAUGAUCAGUCAGACUGGAACUGAGACACGGUCCAGACUCCUACGGGAGGCAGCAGUAAGGAAUCUUCCACAAUGGGCGAAAGCCUGAUGGAGCAACGCCGCGUGCAGGAUGAAGGCCCUCGGGUCGUAAACUGCUUUUAUGAGUGAAGAAUAUGACGGUAACUCAUGAAUAAGCACCGGCUAACUACGUGCCAGCAGCCGCGGUCAUACGUAGGGUGCAAGCAUUAUACGGAGUGACUGGGCGUAAAGAGUUGCGUAGGUGGUUAGUAAAAGCGAAUAGUGAAACCUGGUGGCUCAACCAUACAGACUAUUAUUCGAACUGACUAACUCCAGAGUGGG